UACGUAGGGUGCAAGCGUUGUCCGGAAUUAUUGGGCGUAAAGAGCUCGUAGGCGGCUCGUCGCGUCGGCUGUGAAAACCUGGGGCUCAACCCCGGGCCUGCAGCCGAUACGGGCGAGCUAGAAUUCGGUAGGGGAGACUGGAUUCCUGGUGUAGCGGUGAAAUGCGCAGAUAUCAGGAGGAACACCGGUGGCGAAGGCGGGUCUCUGGGCCGAUAUUGACGCUGAGGAGCGAAAGCGUGGGGAGCGAACAGG
rnacentral:rRNA from 1 species